rnacentral:rRNA from 1 species
UACGGGGGGAGCAAGGCGUUGUUCGGAUUUACUGGGCGUAAAGGGCGCGUAGGCGGCCUCCGCAAGUCAGUUGUGAAAUCUCCGAGCUUAACUCGGAAAGGUCAACUGAUACUGCGGGGCUAGAGUGCAGAAGGGGCGAACUGGAAUUCUCGGUGUAGCGGUGAAAUGCGUAGAUAUCGAGAGGAACACCUGCGGCGAAGGCGGGUUGCUGGGCUGACACUGACGCUGAGGCGCGAAAGCUAGGGGAGCGAACGGG